rnacentral:rRNA from 1 species
GGUUCAGGACGAACGCUGGCGGCGUGCUUCAUACAUGCAAGUCGAACGAUAAGGUCUCUUCGGAGAUACAUAAGUGGCGGACGGGUGAGUAAAAUGUAGAGAAUCUGCCCUAGAGUGGGGGACAACAGAGGGAAACUUCUGCUAAUACCCCAUAUGCGCGUAGCUGAGAUGCUAUUCGUGAAAACUCCGGUGCUCUGGGAUGAGUCUGCAUCUGAUUAGCUAGUAGGCGGUGUAAUGGACCACCUAGGCGACGAUCAGUAGCUGGUUUGAGAGGAUGAUCAGCCACAAUGGGACUGAGACACGGCCCAUACUCCUACGGGAGGCAGCAGUAGGGAAUUUUGCGCAAUGGGGGAAACCCUGAACCGCAGCAACGCCGCGUGACCGAUGAAGCCCUUCGGGGUGUAAAGGUCUGUCAGUGGGGACGAAACUUGACGGUACCCACAGAGGAAGCAUCGGCUAACUCCGUGCCAGCCGCCGC